UACAGAGACUGCAAGCGUUAUUCGGAUUCACUGGGCGUAAAGGGUGCGCAGGCGGUUGGGUGUGUCAGAUGUGAAAUCCCGAGGCUUAACCUCGGAACUGCGUCUGAAACUACUCGACUAGAGUACUGGAGAGGGAAACGGAAUUCACGGUGUAGCAGUGAAAUGCGUAGAUAUCGAGAGGAACACCAGUGGCGAAGGCGAGUCCCUGGACAACACCUGACACUGAGGCACGAAAGCUAGGGGAGCAAACAGG
rnacentral:rRNA from 1 species